rnacentral:lncRNA from 1 species
AAUGCCUGGAAAAAUGGAUUACGCUAAUUUUUGGAGGAAUGGAGGUGUUAAGUGACUUGCCCAGGAUCACACAACUAAGUUUAAGACAGAUGACUAUAGCCUCUCUGCAAUCAGUUCUUCCUUCUAGUGGCUAGAGUACUAUCAGCAUGGGAGUCACCAAGCAACUCAUUUCCAAUCUUCAGCCAUGUAAUUAACAGCAAAGAUGAAUAGAUACAACAAGAAAAUUCAUUUGCACAGCACUGGUGGUUCUAUUGGUGUGUUAUCCAGGAUAGAUGUUCCAUAAUUUUAUUUUACCUUUCAUUUGAUAGCCUUAAUUGGGUGACCCUGAUAAAUUUAAGGAAGCAGGCAAACAGCCUUUGCUCAUCAGCUCUGUAAGACAGAUCAUUCAUUUCUUGAACUAUAGUCUAACCAAUUAUAUCUAAGUAAACUUCAGAUAAGAUUUCAGGAGCAAGAUAUAGCCUUUCUUAUUUCUCUGAUAUCACUUUCUUUUAACAUUGAUGUUACUUAGACUUUGAAAAAAAUUCACCUUUUAAUAAAAUGAAGUUUCUUGAU